GACGAACGCUGGCGGCGUGCUUAACACAUGCAAGUCGAACGGAAAGGCUCCAGCUUGCUGGAGUACUCGAGUGGCGAACGGGUGAGUAACACGUGGGUAAUCUGCCCUGCACCCUGGGAUAAGCCUGGGAAACUGGGUCUAAUACUGGAUAUGACCUUUCUCCUUAUGGGGUUUGGUGGAAAGUUUUUCGGUGUAGGAUGAGCCCGCGGCCUAUCAGCUUGUUGGUGGGGUGAUGGCCUACCAAGGCGACGACGGGUAGCCGGCCUGAGAGGGUGAUCGGCCACAUUGGGACUGAGAUACGGCCCAGACUCCUACGGGAGGCAGCAGUGGGGAAUAUUGCACAAUGGGCGGAAGCCUGAUGCAGCGACGCCGCGUGAGGGAUGACGGCCUUCGGGUUGUAAACCUCCUUCAGCAGGGACGAAGCGUAAGUGACGGUACCUGCAGAAGAAGCACCGGCUAACUAUGUG
rnacentral:rRNA from 1 species